UCUGGAAAUUUUAGUGAAUAA
rnacentral:piRNA from 1 species